GACGAACGCUGGCGGCGUGCCUAAUACAUGCAAGUAGAACGCAGUUGGGAACGGGUGAGUAACGCGUAGGUAACUGCCUCAUUACGGGGGAUAACUAUUGGAAACGAUAGCUAAUAACGCCUACUGUGAGCUGGACCUGCGUGGUAUUGGGUAGUUGGUGAGGUAAAGGCUCACCAAGGCGACGAUCCAUAGCCGACCUGAGAGGGUGGUCGGCCAAAAUGGGAACGGGACAAGGGCCAGACUCCGACGGGAGGCAGCAGGAGGGGAUCGUCGGAAAAGGGCGGAAGGCUGACCGAGCAACGCCGGGUGAGUGGAGGAGGGUUUCGGAUCGUAAAGCUAUGUUGUGCGAGGAGCGGUAACUGAACAGAAAGGGACGGCUAACUACGUGCCAGCAGCCGCGGUAAUAC
rnacentral:rRNA from 1 species